rnacentral:lncRNA from 10 species
CUGAAUUUGUGUAAUUGUUCAACCAUGAGUCUACCAGCCUUGUCAUAAGAAACAACAACAACCCACUGACAACUCAUCUGGAAAAUCACUGCUCUGUUCAAGUCAUUUACACAGCACAAGAAAUCUCCGGCAAUGUGCCCAGAAGUUCUCGGGGAUAACGGGCUCAGCUGCGAAGUUCUUCCUUGAGCAUCUGAAUUUGGUUGUGGUCAGAUGGUGGAUAAAGCUGGACUUAUCUGAAUCUUCUUUCGUCACAUGUCUGGAGUGUCUGGAGUGGCUGGAAAACAGCUUCCUCACAAGUUGGCCAAGUGGCUGGAAGUCCACCUACAAUGGGCAUGCCGUCCUGGAACAUCUCUCUUCUCUAUCUUGGAUUCGGUUCUAUGACGGAGUCUUACUGUAGCACCCAGGCUGGAGUGCAGGAGCACGACCUCGGCUUACUGCAACCUCGACCUCCUGGACUCAAGUGAUUCUCCUGCCUCAGCCUCCCAAGUUGCUGGGAUUACAGGCUCACGUCACCACACCUGGUCCCCCUAUGUUAUUGGGGACAGAAUUGUGCCCAGACAAGAAAAUGAUGUUUCCCAGCCUCCCCUGCAGCUGAGUGGGGACAACCAUUGAGAUAUUUCCUUAGAAGUUUCCAGAGCUGAAUUCUGACACGGACCAGAUAUCCCUGGAAUUCUCUCCUCAGCAGGAGGUUACUUCAAGGCUGGAGUUCACUCUCAGCUAGAGAUUGACUGCGAUUGAUUUGUGAGCUGCGUGGACUCAUGAUGGUGCUGGCCCCUUCAGCAGAUGGAACAAUAAUUCAAAAGAAGCCAUUGGAGCGAGACAUGCCACCUGGUACCUCCUAGCCCCCCGUGCCUCUUCUGCAGUCCAAGCCCCUCUUCUUAAACCAGGGCCCCCUCUCCAGAAAUUGGAAAAUGGCAAUUUUUGGAAAGGAUUCUGGCCAGCCUUUCCUUGCUAGCAACGGAUAAUGAAAUUUACUUUCUUUUUAACACACCUUGCUCUUAUUUUGGCUUCUUUCUGCAAGUGGCAAGCAACCUGACCCUCUUUCGGUUACAAGUCUCAACGAAAUGGAAUGGGAAUGAUAGUAAGAAACAGGAUUUCAGCACAAAUAUGGUCAUGUGAUUGUAGCACUCUUUUUUUUUUUUUUUUUUUUCUGAGACCGAGUCUCACUCUGUCACCCAGGCUGGAGAACAGUGGCAUGAUCUCAGCUCACUGCAACCUCCACCUCCCAGGUUCAAGUGAUUCUCGUGCCUCAGCCUCCCGAGUAGGUGGGAUUACAGGCACCCGCCAACAUGUCCGGCUAAUUUUUGUAUUUUUAGUAGAGACGGGGUUUUGCCAUGUUGGCCAGGCUGGUCUCAAACUUCUGACCUCAAGUGAUUUGCCUGCCUCAGCUUCCCAAAGUGCUGGGAUUACAAGCGUGAGCCACCG